GUCUAUUGGUGAUGGGGCAAUCCCUAAGAAGAUAUUUGAACCUCUCCCAAGCAUAAUAUAAAUUCUCAUCAAUCUUAUGCUUAAAGCUCAAAAUUUAACUGCAUAACCU